UUACGACCACAUCACAUCGAAACACCGGUUCCCGUAAGAUCACCGAAGUUAAGCAACGUUGAACUUGGUAAUUAACUAAAUGGGUAACUGCUUGGGAAUACCAGC